AGAAGUUGCUCUUCGCCGCCGCCGCUUCUGCGUUUUGCAACUCCGAAACCCUAACGAGCUGCCAGUGGGCGCCGAAGAUGACUUUCAAGCGCAGGAACGGAGGGCGCAACAAGCAUGGCCGCGGUCAUGUUAACUUCAUCCGCUGCUCCAACUGCGGCAAGUGCUGCCCAAAGGACAAAGCAAUAAAGAGAUUUCUUGUGAGGAACAUAGUGGAGCAGGCUGCUGUCCGGGAUGUGCAGGAAGCGUGUGCAUAUGAUGGGUACACUCUUCCUAAGCUAUACAUCAAGGUGCAAUACUGCGUCUCUUGUGCAAUCCACUCCAAAGUUGUCAGAGUUAGAUCUCGCACUGACAGGAGGAACCGUGAGCCUCCACAGCGUUUCAGACGCAGGGUACUUGUUUGAUUACUUUUGUGUUUACAUAACUCUUAUUGGAUGAUUACUGUUAUACCAUGUCACAUUUUUAUUUAGUUGCACAAUUUUCAUUUUUUAUGUUUUAUGUGAUAUAUUUUUAUAUGCUCCUCCUAAUCUAGAAGGAUCCAGCACCUUUCAAUUUAUACUAAAUCAUCCACUUAAAAUGCUUAUUUGUUGACAACUAUUCAAUUCCCUUUGUCUAUCUUUUCUUAACAUGUUAUUAAUACUAAAAUUAAAAAUAUCUCAUAGCCACAUCAACACGUGAGCUGUGGUUGUUAACUCAUUGUGACAACUUGCACAUAUAAUAUGCUAGUAUCUCUCAUGCUAAAUAUGAGUUGUUUGCUAUAUCAGUUUAACUUUUUGUGUAAAUUUCAUGAAUAGACGAAAUCUCUAUUUUCUUCCAAUAUUACUUGUUAUCAUGAUGCUAUGCUCUACUGCUAGGACAAGCUUUAGACAAUCUAAGAUAUUUGAUUGAUUAUCUAGUAAGUAAGAUCACUUGGGUAGUGUUUUUAAAAGGUUAUUAUUUAUUAAUUAUGUAAGUGGCACUCCACUGUCAUAAUGUUUUUUUGUUCAAAUUGGAUAGUUGAACAUGUUUGAUUCAAUUGGACUUUUUUUUUAAAAAAAACUAUAAAUUUUUUUUACCCGAAGGGAUGUUGUGUGGCUAUUAAUUGAGCAUUCAUGUCAUGUCCUAAGCAUCACAACACAACACAAUAAUUCCAUAAGUCAAUUAGUGAAUUCAGGGAGAUCCAAAUAAUCAUGUAAAAUGAUCAAGGGAAUUAGAUUACUCAAUGCUCCUAUUGAUGAUCAGGAUGAUUAUAAUAUUAGGAUCGGAUGCGGAUGUUGGUAACCAUAGCAUAGCUUCAUUUCCUGCUGUCAAGCAAAUGGAAUAUAUGUUCUGAACGAUUGGUACUAGUGCACUGGUCGAGUCUAGUGACCCAAUUGGGACAAAAAGUUCAAAUUCUUUUAGAUAGAGGCAUUUUCAGGAUCAUUUUGUGUAAGUAAUCUUUUUCUUAGGCUUGGAGUGCUAGGCAGAAAUGUUUCUUAUGUGCCUGGUGAUCAUUUUUGUGUUGAUCAAUAAGUGGAUGAAACAUUGAGGGAUCAUUGUACCAAAUGGGAGUCUCAUCAACUUUGCUUGCUAUGACUAGUUUGUGGUACAAUUCUCCUUUCAAAUGAAUAAAUUAUCAUAUAUCAAUUGGACCAUUUUGCUAUAGUAAAACAGAAACACCACCAUACAGGUUCAUUGAGUCUAUCAUUUGUAAUAAAGGAAAACUGUUCAGUUGGUACGUGUGUGCUUCUUGUUGAUCGAUGCUUGGAACUUCAACUGCCCAAAUUUAGUUCUGCAAUGUUAAAUAGUUGUAUUGUUAUCUGCUUUGAUCUUGUAUUAGUUAGUUUGUACUCCAUUACAGCUUAUUGCAACAAAUAUCCUAAUUAGUUCCAUAAUAUUUCUAUGCAGGAUGAUCAGGCAAGGCCUGGACAAGGCCCUCGUCCUGCAGGUGCAGCAACUGGAACUGGAACUGGACCUGCCCGUCCAUAAAGAAAUGCA